GACGAACGCUGGCGGCGUGCUUAACACAUGCAAGUCGAACGGAAAGGCCCUGCUUGCAGGGUGCUCGAGUGGCGAACGGGCGAGUAACACGUGGGUGAUUUGCCUCUUACUUUGGGAUAAGCCUGGGAAACUGGGUCUAAUACUGGACAGGACAAUGCUGUAGGCGGUGUGGUGGAAAGAUUAGUACCGGUUAGGGAUGAGCUCGCGGCCUAUCAGCUCGUUGGUGGGGUAAUGGCCUACCAAGGCGUCGACGGGUAGCCGGCCUGAGAGGGUGGACGGCCACAUUGGGACUGAGAUACGGCGCAGACGCCUACGGGAGGCAGCAGUGGGGAAUAGUGCACAAGAGGCGCAAGCCUGAUGCAGCGACGCCGCGUGGGGGAUGACGGCCUUCGAGUUGUAAACUCCUUUCAGCCAUGACGAAGCCCUUGUGGUGACGGUAGUGGUAGAAGAAGCACCGGCUAACUACGUG
rnacentral:rRNA from 1 species